rnacentral:misc_RNA from 1 species
GUAUUUCGGUUGCGCGUGCGCAGUGAUGCAUUCGACAUACGGUAAUAAGCUGAUGUGAAGGGCCAGACCGGAGGGCGCGCAAGGCACCACUCCCGUCCGACGGGUUCGUGCACAGGUGUGAAGGGGUCUGAACGCCAGAGGGGGCGUGCACAUUGCGCCGGAGCGCCAGCACAACCCCCCGAGGGUGCAUUUCAUUAAUGAUCCUUCCGCAGGUUCACCUACGGAAA